GACGAACGCUGGCGGCGUGCUUAACACAUGCAAGUCGAACGGAGAAUUUAUUUCGGUAAAUUCUUAGUGGCGAACGGGUGAGUAACGCGUGGGCAACCUGCCCUUCAGAUGGGGACAACAUCCCGAAAGGGGUGCUAAUACCGAAUACGAUCACGCUGCCGCAUGGCGGUGUGAUGAAAGAUGGCCUCUAUUUAUAAGCUAUCGCUGAAGGAUGGGCCUGCGUCUGAUUAGCUAGUUGGUGGGGUAACGGCCUACCAAGGCGAUGAUCAGUAGCCGGUCUGAGAGGAUGAACGGCCACAUUGGGACUGAGACACGGCCCAAACUCCUACGGGAGGCAGCAGUGGGGAAUAUUCCGCAAUGGACGAAAGUCUGACGGAGCAACGCCGCGUGAGUGAUGAAGGUUUUCGGACUGUAAAACUCUGUUGUUUAGGACGAAAGUGCCUGUUGCAAACAGUUGCAGGUAUUGACGGUACUGAACGAGGAGGCCACGGCUAACUACGUGCCAGCCGCCGCCGUAACAC
rnacentral:rRNA from 1 species